rnacentral:lncRNA from 1 species
UUUAUUUUUAUAUAAGGAACACAAGAGAUUGCAGGCCCAGCCCAAAAACAAAUAUUAAUGCUUCGUAAUUAUAGCUUGGUCUGGUGGUCCGGUCCACUCAUCCUAUACAAAAUUUCUUGGCGGUUUAAGUAUUCCACAUGUCACACUGUAAGAUCAUAGAUUAACUGUCUCUCAUCAGAUAGCCGUACGAUCUUCGUAACCACAUAACUAAAAAGAAAAAGAAAAAAAAAAAAAAUUAAAAUUACUCGGCACAUUCACAUACGCGGAAAAAGAAAAGAAAAAGAUAAUAAAAAAAAAGCGAAUCGUUUUACUUACCUCUCUUUGAAACCGACGGUGGUCUUUUUCGCCGGAGAAGAUGAAGCAGAGAACCUGGCCUUGUAGAUCUGAAGGAUCUAGAUUCACCUCCUUAUCGUU